UUGACAGAAGCCAAAACCAGAGGCAUAUUACUGUUAAUGAUAAAAUUGAAUUUUUCCUGUCAAG
rnacentral:tRNA from 1 species